UGCGCAGGCGGAAUGAUAAGUCAGUGGUGAAAUCCUACAGCUUAACUGUAGAACUGCCAUUGAUACUGUUGUUCUUGAGUACAUUUGUAGUGGGCGGAAUGUGUCAUGUAGCGGUGAAAUGCCUAGAGAUGACACAGAACACCGAUCGCGAAGGCAGCUCACUAAACUGUAACUGACGCUGAGGCACGAAAGCGUGGGGAUCAAACAGGAUUAGAUACCCUGGUAGUCC
rnacentral:rRNA from 1 species